ACUCUGCAGGGCUCCGGCUCUCCACGAAUAGAGUUUGACACCCCUGUUCUAGAGAGACUGAAGAGCUUGAUAAGCUGGUUCAGGUGUGUUUAAUUAGAUUGGAGCUAAAUUGUGCAGGACAGCAGCACUUAAGGAACUGGUUUGGACAUCCGAGGCAGUACCUUGCAUGCUCAUGCUUUGCUUUUCAAGAAGGAUGAACCUCUGGUGAUGUGCUACAGAUGUAAUUCUUCUGGGUGGAGUUCUACACGUAGUUGCAUCACAUCUCUUCCUGUUCUAGUUUAAUUCAUUAUAUGAGGAUCACAGUUACCAAUCCCUCUGGAAAAAUGCUGAUGUAUUACAUAAUGUGGAUGGUAAGAGUUUACAUGGAAUGUAGCUGAGUGGGAUUUCAGAGGAACCUAAAUCCCAGAGGAUGUGGAUUACUGGCACCGACAACUCAAAUCAGCACUUCGGAAAUUCCUAUAGAAAGACACAGAGAAGACACACUGAGAGACCAGCAGGGACUGAGACAAAGCCAUAGAGAGAGAAAACCGUUGAUCCAUUGCAGACUUUGCAGGUUGUUCUCUGUAUUCAACCUGCCAGAUUUUACCCUCUGAGACCCACUGUAGCAUAUGCAACAACUAUUUUUCACACAUUGUUCUAUUUUGCAAAACAAGCGCACAUACUGUAUGUUAUUAUAAUUUUCAUUAUUAUUAUUUUCAAUUUUUAGCAUAUGAACCUGCUGUAUUUCUGCAUUAAGUGGUCAUAAAAUGUCAUUUUAUCUUCAACAAAGUCACAAAUAAUGAUCCUCCAGCUCUUAAUGCAUUGUUUUCCUUCUUGAGAAUCAGUAAAUGUUAUCACAUCUUAUAAUAAUUGUAAUGAAUAAAUUCAUAUCAUCAGUGUGAAAGGAUGAAUCUCAAAAGCACAAUCACUUUUGUAAAGGGUUCAAAUAUGCAGGAUAAUGGUGGAAAACCAAAGAAAGUGCGGGAUCUAGAGGGUUUUCUGAAGAACAGCGAUCAGUUUAUAUGCAAACAAACAAGGUUAAUUAAAAAACAAGCACUGCAUUGUGAAUUUUAAUGGUAUGUGUUUAAUAAAGCCAUGGAAAACUAUAA